rnacentral:rRNA from 1 species
AUACGUAGGGUGCGAGCGUUAAUCGGAAUUACUGGGCGUAAAGCGUGCGCAGGCGGUUUUUUAAGAUAGGCGUGAAAUCCCCGGGCUCAACCUGGGAACUGCGCUUAUGACUGGAAGACUAGAGUAUGGCAGAGGGGGGUGGAAUUCCACGUGUAGCAGUGAAAUGCGUAGAGAUGUGGAGGAACACCGAUGGCGAAGGCAGCCCCCUGGGCCAAUACUGACGCUCAUGCACGAAAGCGUGGGGAGCAAACAGGAUUAGAUACCCUGGUAGUCCACGCCCUAAACGAUGUCAACUAGGUGUUGGGAGGGUAAAACCUUUUAGUACCGGAGCUAACGCGUGAAGUUGACCGCCUGGGGAGUACGGCCGCAAGGUUAAA